AAGGAUCAUUACCGAGUUAGGGUCUUCUAGGCCCGACCUCCCAACCCUUUGUUUACUUAACCUGUGUUGCUUCGGCGAGCCCGUCUUCGGACCGCCGGGGGACCGUAACACGUUCCCUGGUCCGCGCUCGCCGGUGGCCUCAUAACCAAAACUCUUAUAAAUCGUGUCCUUGUCUGAGUAUAUCGAUUAUUAUAAUCAUUAAAGCAAAACUUUCAACAACGGAUCUCUUGGUUCUGGCAUCGAUGAAGAACGCAGCCGAAACAUCAGUGUAACGAAUGUAAAGUAUUAUAAUCAAUACAACUUUCAACAACGGAUCUCUUGGUUCUC
rnacentral:misc_RNA from 1 species